GCAUUUGACCGCUCCUCCCUCCGCGUUGGAGGCGGAAUAGUGGGUUUUGCUGCAACCGGUUUAUUUUCCUUCUGUUUUCACCCAUUCUGGCACAAUCUGGCGCCAUCGUCCUUCUUGUGAGGCCAAGCCUGAAAAUGCGAAGCAGAGAGGCAGGACCAAAAUUGAGGCGAAUCCAGGAACCUGCCAAUGGGUCUCCGGGUGCGGUCUCUGAAACUGGAGGAUAUCGGGAGGAAAGGGUAUGGAAGAGGGAUAAAACACGGUGCCUUAGGUGUGUUGAAGACAGAGUCGGGCCAAAAAUAUAUGAUUUACUGAGAUGCGUGUCGUGUUCUUGCGCUUUAUCUUGUAGCUCUCCGAUGCGGAGAUAAUGGGGAAGCUCUUGGCAUGGUUGGCUGUAGGUAUGUGAUACCGGAGGAGCAGGAGUCAAAUAGGAUACGCCGACUUUUAAUUCAAGGAACCCUUUUCUGAAACACUUUGCCACAAUGAAGGAAAUAAGAUUACAGCCGAAGAUACAUAUUAAGGUAUUACUUAUUCACACCAGUUUUCCAUUAUAAUAUGCUUGUAUCUUCUCUGAAUGGAAUUAAUAGCUUUUGGUUAUGGUUCCUUAAAAGUCACAUGGCCUAAGGAUAGAUGGUCAAGGAACUUUGGAAAAAUUGGUCCCUGGGGGAUGUGCAGGGCAAAUACUUUUUGGCUGUAAGGUGUGUGCAGAGAGUAAGAACUGGAUUUAAAUACUGUAAGUUGGUUGGGCUGUUAGAGCCUUUUCCUGCUCAACCAAUUAAGACCCGAGUGAGGCUGAAUAAAAAUAACAUUGUUUUUAGCUAUCUUUAAGGAAAAAAUUAGUUGCCUUAUAUUUUUGUAACAGUUUUACUCAGAUAUAAUUCUCAUACCACACAACUAAUUGGUUUAAAGUGUACAAUUCAGUGGGUUUUAGUAUAUGCACAGAAUUGUGGAACAGUCACAAUCAAUAUUAGAACAUUUUCAUCACUCCAGAAAGAAACCUCAUUCUUACUAGCAGCACCUCCAAAUAUUCCCCCACCCCGCUCAGCAAACACUAAUUUAGUUUCCGUGUGCCUCUGCCUGCUCUGUACACUUCAUGUAAGUGGAAUUAUGAACUAAUAUAUGGUCUUUGUGACUGGCUUCUUUCACUUGGAAUGUUUUCAGAGUUCAUCCAUCUUAUAGCACGUAUCAGUACUUUAUUUUUUAUUGCUGAAUCGUACUCCAUUUUAUGGAUGUAGCAGAUUUUGUUUAUCCGUUCAACAGUUGGUGGACAUUUGGGUUUUCCAAUUUUUUUUUUUACUAUUAUGAACAUUUGUGUACAAGUUUUUGUGUGGACAAAUGUUUUCAUUUUCCUGAUUACACACCUAAGAGUGGAAUUGGUGAGUCAUAAGAUAACUGUGUUUAGCUUCUUGAGGAAGUGCCAGAUUAUUUUCCCUAGUGGCUGCACCAUUUUACAUUCCCACCAGCAGUGGAUGAGGCUGCCAGUUUCUCCACAUUUUUGUGCAUGUGAAGUGGCUGUCUCAUCGUGGUGUUUGCCUUUUCUUAAGGACUCAAAAGUUUGCAGAUACAGGCAUUCACUUGCCAUUUUCUUAAGGUAGAGUUGAAAGUACUGCUGCCAGUUCAUCAUCUGAAAUGAGGGCUGUUUUCUUUCCUGUUUAAUUGGAUUGCAACUAUUUGCCUUUCCUAAAGAUGAAAUAGUGUGCUUCCUACAUUAUUCUGACAACAUUCCUUUAAUUGUUAAUUUCAGAUGAAUUUCUGAAAACUGCUUUUAUCAGAACAGAUUUACUUAAAUGAAGGCAAUAGCCGCAAGGGGUCACUGCUCUAGAUAUUUACUUCUGCAUAGGAAAUAAGUAAUCCUUUAUAGAUGGAAUUUUUUUUUCUUAGUUGUAUUUUUGUAUCUUUACAUUUGUUUAUAACUUAUCUAUACUUUUUUUGUUGUUGUGAUUAUUUUACUGUUGACAUGGAAGUUCUCAAUCUGAUCAUUUGGUUAUAUCAUUGCUUCUUCUAGUAACUUCAUAUCCAGUGAUUAAACCUUUUCACUGCUGUUCACAUAAUGAACCGUUGUGAUUAUUGAAUACUUAAAUGAGGAUAUGUAAGCUGUAUUAAAGAUAGUGUU
rnacentral:lncRNA from 1 species